rnacentral:pre_miRNA from 1 species
CUCACAUCCAUGUGUGUAGGAUCCCAAAGGAUAACCAUUAAAUUUGACACAGAUGUCUAGAAAAGUUAUUACAUGGAUGUGGGACUUUACUUUUCUAGGGAUCUGUGUCAAAUUUAAUGGUGAUCCUUUAAGGUCCUACACACAUGGUUGUGGG